rnacentral:lncRNA from 1 species
UCUUUCUUUUUUCUUUCUUUCUUUCUUUCCUUUUUUAUUUAGCAGGACCAACCUCGAUUCCUCUUAUCCGCUCACAAUAAGCCUUUUACCGAACAUCACUCCAUAAGUGCACUGAUUCGGACUCAACCUCAGUCUGAGUUAUCUCCACCUGUCAAACAACUUGCCCUGGUCUACCGAAUGCCCCUCUUCUGUUUGGGACUUUGCCAUCAUGUCAUCAACAUGGCAUCCGAUCCCAC